rnacentral:rRNA from 1 species
GACGAACGCUGGCGGCGUGCCUAAUACAUGCAAGUCGAACGCUUCUUUCCUCCCGAGUCCUUGCACUCGAUUGGAAAGGGGAGUGGCGGACGGGUGAGUAACCCGUCGUUAACCUAUCCAUCAGCGUGGGAUAACCCUUGCAAACAGGUGCUAAUACCUCAUAACAGUUUAUGCCGCAUGGCAUGAGAGUGUUAGUCUCUUUCGGAUGUCGCUGCUGGCUGGAUCCGCGGUGCAUUAGCUAGUUGGUAAGGUAACGGCUCACCAAGGCAACGAUGCAUAGCCGACCUGAGAGGGUGAUCGGCCACACUGGGACUGAGACACGGCCCAGACUCCUACGGGAGGCAGCAGUAGGGAAUCUUCGGCAAUGGGCGAAAGCCUGACGGAGCAACGCCGCGUGAGUGAAGAAGGUUUUCGGAUCGUAAAACUCUGUUGUUAGGGAAGAACAAAGGCGUAAGUAACUGAGCGUCCCCUGACGGUAUCUAAUCAGAAAGCCACGGCUAACUACGUG